AAUUCCAUUCGGGGGAAUAACUGUUCUUCACAUCUCCUGUAAACCCUCUGUUGCAGAAAAAUUUGAUACAAAAGCCAAGGUUGCUAUUCGCUGUGCAAAUAUUAUAGACCUUAGAAUUGGUGGAUUUGGUGAAAUGGCUGAUAUUGAAAUUGAGCCGACUGUGUUUCAUUUCAACGGCACCUUUGUUGGCACUACCCAUAUUAUUCCAUUUGUAAUAAAAAACAAAGGUGCAAUACGUGCCACGGUGGAUUUUGACCUUAAAGACUUUCCAGAGUUUUCAAUCAAUUUCAAGGACAAAUCAGG
rnacentral:lncRNA from 1 species